GACGAACGCUGGCGGCGUGCUUAACACAUGCAAGUCGAGCGGUAAGGCCCUUUCGGGGGUACACGAGCGGCGAACGGGUGAGUAACACGUGGGUGACCUGCCCUCAGCUCUGGGAUAAGCCCGGGAAACUGGGUCUAAUACCGGAUAUGACUUCAUGACGCAUGUUGUGGAGUGGAAAGCCUUGUGCGGCUGAGGAUGGGCCCGCGGCCUAUCAGCUUGUUGGUGGGGUGAUGGCCUACCAAGGCGACGACGGGUAGCCGGCCUGAGAGGGCGACCGGCCACACUGGGACUGAGACACGGCCCAGACUCCUACGGGAGGCAGCAGUGGGGAAUCUUGCGCAAUGGGCGAAAGCCUGACGCAGCGACGCCGCGUGAGGGAUGACGGCCUCGGUUGUAA
rnacentral:rRNA from 1 species